UUAUUUGAGAGUUUGAUCCUGGCUCAGGAUGAACGCUGGCGGCGUGCCUAACACAUGCAAGUUGAGCGAUUUACUUCGGUAAAGAGCGGCGGACGGGUGAGUAACGCGUGGGUAACCUACCCUGUACACACGGAUAACAUACCGAAAGGUAUGCUAAUACGGGAUAAUAUAUUUGAGAGGCAUCUCUUAAAUAUCAAAGGUGAGCCAGUACAGGAUGGACCCGCGUCUGAUUAGCUAGUUGGUAAGGUAACGGCUUACCAAGGCGACGAUCAGUAGCCGACCUGAGAGGGUGAUCGGCCACAUUGGAACUGAGACACGGUCCAAACUCCUACGGGAGGCAGCAGUGGGGAAUAUUGCACAAUGGGCGAAAGCCUGAUGCAGCAACGCCGCGUGAGUGAUGAAGGCCUUCGGGUCGUAAAACUCUGUCCUCAAGGAAGAU
rnacentral:rRNA from 1 species